rnacentral:lncRNA from 1 species
AAUAUUCUUCCAUUUCAAAGAAUCAGCAAGAUGACGAAGUAGUCCAUCACAUUUUCUAUUAUCUGCAUGCCACCUAAGGUUUUUAGUGUCAUCUGCAUUUGCAAACAAACGCUUAAGCCUUGGAAUUAUUGGAAGAUACCAAACAACCUUAGCAGGAGGACCUUCCUUUGUGAAUUCAUCAAUUUCAUCAUUCUGACCAACUUUAACCUUAUAACGUGACAAACCACACCUGGGACAUCUUCUUAAAUCUUCAUACUCAUUUCUGUAUAAAAUACAAUCGUUAGGACAUGAAUGUAUUUUUC